AGCUUUGCGUAGUGGCGAUAUCGUUACCAAUGAGGUACAACCGAGGAUGCGAUUAUUGCUGGUUGAAAACUAAAAAAACCAUAACUAUUCAUACGCCAGGAUGGAUCGAAUCUCUCCAAAAUUCCAUUCCUUCCUUCAGUUCGGCUGUUUUGCAUAGCAGUAAGACGUGUCAGCGAAUCGAGCAAUGGCAUGAAU
rnacentral:snRNA from 1 species